AAUGCUUUAGCUAAAAACAGAACAGUUUACAUGUGAAAAAGAGGGCUCCGUGAAAAGAAAUGAAUGAAGGGUAGGAAGUUGAAAUCACAUUUACGAUCGCCUGGGCAGCAGAAAAGACAACCUGAGUCUUCACAGGAGAAAUGGGCAGGCUCCUGGGGGCAUCAUUGUGGAUUCUGUGGCUUCAGCCAUACUGGGUUAAUAGCCAACAGAAGAAUGGUGACCAGCAACAGGUCAAGCAAAAUUCUCCAUCUGUGAGUGUGCAAGAAGGAGGAAUUUCUAUUCUGAACUGUGACUACAAUAAUAAGUUAUUUGAUUACUUCCUAUGGUACAGAAAAUACCCUGCUAAAGGUCCUGCACUCCUGAUAUCAAUACCCUUAGGUAUGGAUAAAAAUGAAGAUGGAAGAUUCACAGUCUUCCUCAACAAAAGUACUAAACACCUCUCUCUGCACAUUGCGGCCUCCCGGCCUGGAGACUCUGCCUUGUACCUCUGCGCAGCAAGUGCACAGUGCUCUCCAGGCACCUGCAGCCUGUACACAAACCUGAAGCUGGGUCCAAGCCAAUACCUCCUUUGGGGUCUCAGACUGAGAGGCACACACACUUGCUUCCAUUUACACAUGGCAGGAAGAGAGGGUGUGGUUUAAAGUAGGUGAGCAAGCUGAGCUUUAAGGAAGACUGAUAUGUGACAAGUCCUACAAAUGAGUUAAGAACAUUCCCUGAGCCUUGGGUUGUCCAAGAGUCUAACCAUUCUCCAUUUUUACUUUCAGAGAGAGGUUGCUGGUUUAGUCAAAGCACCAAUCUCUGGUGAUGCUUUGUUCCCACUAGCUCCUGGAAUGAGGAUACCCUGUUUCCCCUGUAUCCUAGAGGAAAAGACA